ensembl:lncRNA
GAUAGCGUAAGGUAGCAGUGAUAGCGUAAGGUAGCAGUGAUAGCGUAAGGUAGCAGUGAUAGUGUAAGGUAGCAGUGAUAGUGUAAGGUAGCAGUGAUAGUAUAAGGUAGCAGUGAUAGUGUAAGGUAGCAGUGAUAGUAUAAGGUAGCAGUGAUAGUGUAAGGUAGCAGUGACAGUGUAACGUAGCAGUGAUGUUGUAAGGUAGCAGUGAUGUUGUAAGGUAGCAGUAAUAGUGUAAGGUAGCAGUGACAGUGUAAGGUAGCAGUGACAGUGUAAGGUAGCAGUGAUAGUGUAAGGUAGAAGUGAUAGUGUAAGGUAGCAGUGAUAGUGUAAGGUAGCAGUGAUAGUGUAAGGUAGCAGUGAUAGUGUAAGGUAGCAGUGAUAGUGUAAGGUAGCAGUGAUAGUGUAAGGUAGCAGUGAUAGUUAGUGUAAGGUAGGAGUGAUAGUGUAAGGUAGCAGUGA